GAUGAAGAACGUAGCGAAAUGCGAUAAGUAAUGUGAAUUGCAGAAUUCAGUGAAUCAUCGAAUCUUUGAACGCACAUUGCGCCCGCCAGUAUUCUGGCGGGCAUGCCUGUUCGAGCGUCAUUACAACCCUCAGGCCCCCGGGCCUGGCGUUGGGGAUCGGCGGAAGCCCCCUGCGGGCACAACGCCGUCCCCCAAAUACAGUGGCGGUCCCGCCGCAGCUUCCAUUGCGUAGUAGCUAACACCUCGCAACUGGAGAGCGGCGCGGCCACGCCGUAAAACACCCAACUUCUGAAUGUUGAUCUCGAAUCAGGUAGGAAUACCCGCUGAACUUAAGCAUAUCAAUAAGCGGAGGA
rnacentral:misc_RNA from 1 species